UCGGGUACGAUUUGAUGAGUGUUAGUAUACUUAGGGUUGUUGUUGUGAUCCUGUUUCAUGUGGUGUUACAUCCCUGUGAUGGCACAUAGGUGGGCUCAUUGUGUUGUCCUCUGCUCGUCGUUGUUGAUAGUUUACUUUCUAGCUUAGCUUUACCUUUGGUUUUCAAGUUUCUUUCCGUUGUGCGUUUUAAAGCUCUAUAUUAUUUUUGUAUUUGAACUCUGUUUGUAAAGCUAAGUGUUAUACCUUAAUUUGUAUAAACUUUAUGGUGUUUGUAUUAUCUCUGCUUACCUUCGUGUGAGACUUGUGGUGUAUUGUUUCGAUCGAGAUAUCCAGUAAUUGAAUCGGGCUUGACCCGACAGACUAUUAGAUUACACCGUUUUAAGUGUGUAUUGACCGAAUUAACCAUUAAGAGGAUGGUUAGUGCACUUAAGCUAGUUUAAUUUGUGGUGUAUUAUUUCGAUUGAGAUAUUCAGUGGUUGAAUCGGACUUGACCUGACAGACUGUUAGAUUACACCGUUUUAAGUGUGUACUGACUGAAUUAACCACUAAGAGUAUGGUUAGCGCACUUAAGCUGGUUUAAUUUGGGCGGUUCUACCCUAGCAUGAAACUGGUUAAUGAUCUUGUCUACGUAGAUUCAUCCCC
rnacentral:lncRNA from 1 species